UGGGGAAUUUUGGACAAUGGGGGAAACCCUGAUCCAGCCAUCCCGCGUGUGCGAUGAAGGCCUUCGGGUUGUAAAGCACUUUUGGCAGGAAAGAAACGUCGCGGGUUAAUACCCCGCGGAACUGACGGUACCUGCAGAAUAAGCACCGGCUAACUACGUGCCAGCAGCCGCGGUAAUACGUAGGGUGCAAGCGUUAAUCGGAAUUACUGGGCGUAAAGCGUGCGCAGGCGGUUCGGAAAGAAAGAUGUGAAAUCCCAGAGCUUAACUUUGGAACUGCAUUUUUAACUACCGGGCUAGAGUGUGUCAGAGGGAGGUGGAAUUCCGCGUGUAGCAGUGAAAUGCGUAGAUAUGCGGAGGAACACCGAUGGCGAAGGCAGCCUCCUGGGAUAACACUGACGCUCAUGCGCGAAAGCGUGGGGAGCAAACAGGAUUAGAUACCCUGGUAGUCCACGCCCUAAACGAUGUCAACUAGCUGUUGGGGUCUUCGGACCUUGGUAGCGCAGCUAACGCGUGAAGUUGACCGCCUGGGGAGUACGGUCGCAAGAUU
rnacentral:rRNA from 1 species